GCGAAACGUUUGUCAUCAGUUUUUAUAUCUCCUGCUAUAAUAAAGAUAAUUUUAGAGUGCAGACCUUGAGUAACGUUUGAUAUAAGAGACGGGUCUCUGCAAUUAUAAAAGCUGGGAGAGCACAAUUCCAACUCCAACGGAAUGAAAUGUUACUCUUGUGAUGGGAAGAGCUGCUCAAACACAGUGACCUGUUCAGGGAGUGAAGACCGCUGCAUUACAGCAACAGGCAGUUUCGGAGGCCAGUCACUGGUUGUGAAAGGCUGUGUCUCUAAAGCCAUUUGUAAUGCCACAAAAUCGGUUCCUAAUGUUCAGGACAUCUCAUGUUGUGAGGGGAACCUGUGUAACAGUGCUCAGAGUGUCACUCAGAGCUUCCUGUUCCUCUGCUGUUCUCUGCUCUCCUUCAUCCUGCUGCACUGAAUCCAGCAGCUCGACACAUUCUACAGCAGCAGCAAAGACACCGUGUUGAUGAACAAAAAUACAGUUAAUAUUUUCUUGAUGAACUGAAAAGUAUACAGGACAUCUUAUGUAAUUUUUUUUUAUGUUUUGGGUUCAUAUGUAAAGGUUCAUCCUGUAAAAAGAAAGUGCAAUAAUGUUUUGUUUUUUUAUUAUUAUCAUGUUGAGAAUAAACCAUUUGCUCAUUAUUUAAUUAUUCAAAAAAGGAAAAAUUUCACCUCUUAAGUUUUACAGGAGACAUUUCCAGUACCAGGAUUUUCCUGUUCACACUUACUGAAUAAUAAAAGUUUUGUCACAAAUACUUUUUCUAUUAUUUUGCUCAAUACUAUAUAUUUUGUGUGUGUAUAACUAGCAUAAGAGGUAUAAAGUGUAACUGUAAUGCAUCAUUCUCGGGGUAAUGAUCCAGAUUCCACGAUUCGAUUCUGAUUCACAAGCUCUUUAUAUGAUUCUAUUCCAGGCACGUGCACACAUAGACAUA